UACGAAGGGGGCUAGCGUUGCUCGGAAUGACUGGGCGUAAAGGGCGCGUAGGCGGCCUGGCAAGUGGAAGGUGAAAUCCCUCGGCUUAACCGAGGAACUGCCUUCCAAACUGCUUGGCUUGAGUCCGGGAGAGGUGAGUGGAAUUCCCAGUGUAGCGGUGAAAUGCGUAGAUAUUGGGAGGAACACCAGUGGCGAAGGCGGCUCACUGGACCGGAACUGACGCUGAUGCGCGAAAGCUAGGGGAGCAAACAGG
rnacentral:rRNA from 1 species